AACUACUCCGAUAGCCUAGUGGUUAGAGCGUCCGCAUCGGAUGCUGGAAGUCGUGGGUUUGUUCCCCGGUCGAGUCA